rfam:Herminiimonas arsenicoxydans chromosome, complete sequence.
CCGGAUGCACGACCAUUCGUAACCUACUCAAGCAUGCGUCAUCGGUAACGGUGGGGUGUGAAGCCUUGAAGACAAUGUACCCCCAGCUUCACAGGGCGGCUAUCUCAUGCGAAUGAGUGGUUGGAGACUGCUAGCAGCAAAGCGGUUGAGGGG